rnacentral:rRNA from 1 species
AAAUUGAAGAGUUUGAUCAUGGCUCAGAUUGAACGCUGGCGGCAGGCCUAACACAUGCAAGUCGAGCGGAAACGAGUUAUCUGAACCUUCGGGGAACGAUAACGGCGUCGAGCGGCGGACGGGUGAGUAAUGCCUAGGAAAUUGCCCUGAUGUGGGGGAUAACCAUUGGAAACGAUGGCUAAUACCGCAUGAUGCCUACGGGCCAAAGAGGGGGACC